CCUACGGGUGGCAGCAGUCGAGAAUCUUCGGCAAUGAGCGCAAGCUUGACCGAGCGACGCCGCGUGUGGGAUGAAGGCCCUCGGGUUGUAAACCACUGUCGUAGGGGAGGAAGGCUCCGUGAAGAGCGGGGCUUGACCUAUCCUAGGAGGAAGUACGGGCUAAGUUCGUGCCAGCAGCCGCGGUAAGACGAACCGUACGAACGUUAUUCGGAAUUACUGGGCUUAAAGGGUUUGUAGGCGGCCUUGUAGGGAAAGCCCGCGGCGCAACCGAGGAAUAGCGCUUGAUACUGCAAGGCUUGAGGGAGACAGGGGUAAGCGGAACUGAUGGUGGAGCGGUGAAAUGCGUUGAUAUCAUCAGGAACACCGGUGGCGAAAGCGGCUUACUGGGUCUCUUCUGACGCUGAGGAACGAAAGCUAGGGGAGCGAACGGGAUUAGAUACCCGGGUAGUC
rnacentral:rRNA from 1 species